rnacentral:misc_RNA from 1 species
CGAAUAGUACCGUGGCCGUGGUGCUCGAAAAGCAUUCGACUUCCGUGUUGAUCAUUUUUACCGAGAAAUGUACGAUAGGCACGCAAGUUUUAUCGUAAAUCCUACGCGUCCCGCGGCGAGGCGGAAAUAAACGCGACGCCGAAGAUAAGUUGGACGAUCGUCUCGUUAUAACGUGUCGUGGCAAUUAAAAAAUGACAAAUGGAUGUCUCCUCUGAGCGGUUUAAUUAUUUUAUCAUCGGAGGAGAGAAGUUCAGCUGCUACUCCGUAGAUCUGGUUCGGGG